CAGUCACCGCGGGAAUACGGAGGGUGCAAGCGUUAAUCGGAAUUACUGGGCGUAAAGCGCACGCAGGCGGUCUGACAAGUCAGAUGUGAAAUCCCCGGGCUUAACCUGGGAACUGCAUUUGAAACUGGCAGGCUAGAGUCUUGUAGAGGGGGGUAGAAUUCCAGGUGUAGCGGUGAAAUGCGUAGAGAUCUGGAGGAAUACCGGUGGCGAAGGCGGCCCCCUGGACAAAGACUGACGCUCAGGUGCGAAAGCGUGGGGAGCAAACAGGAUUAGAUACCCCGGUAGUCCCUGUCUCUUAUAC
rnacentral:rRNA from 1 species